rnacentral:rRNA from 1 species
GAUGAACGCUAGCGGCAGGCCUAAUACAUGCAAGUCGAACGGUGUAGCAAUACACAGUGGCGCACGGGUGCGUAACACGUAUGCAACCUACCUUACAUUGGGGGAUAGCCUUUCGAAAGGGAGAUUAAUACCGCAUAAGACAGUAACUGGGCAUCCAGUAGCUGUUAAAGAUUUAUCGAUGUAAGCUGGGCAUGCGUCCAAUUAGUUAGUUGGCGAGGUAAUGGCUCACCAAGACGAUGAUUGGUAGGGGAACUGAGAGGUCAAUCCCCCACACUGGCACUGAGAUACGGGCCAGACUCCUACGGGAGGCAGCAGUAGGGAAUAUUGGGCAAUGGGCGCAAGCCUGACCCAGCCAUGCCGCGUGCAGGAAGAAGGCGUUAUGCGUUGUAAACUGCUUUUAUACAGGAAGAAACGACCCUUGCGAGGGGCAUUGACGGUACUGUAUGAAUAAGCACCGGCUAACUCCGUGCCAGCAGCCCGCCGUAA